rnacentral:tRNA from 1 species
UGGAAAAGUGGCCGAGUGGCUUAAGGCGGCACCCUGCUAAGGUGUUGUAUGGGGUUACCUGUACCGUGGGUUCAAAUCCCACCUUUUCCGA